ACUGAUUAUUUUGUGACUGAGUGGCGGACGGGUGAGUAACGCGUGGGUGACCUGCCCCAUACCGGGGGAUAACAGCUGGAAACGGCUGCUAAUACCGCAUAAGCGCACAGCAUCGCAUGAUGCAGUGUGAAAAACUCCGGUGGUAUAAGAUGGACCCGCGUCUGAUUAGCUAGUUGGCAGGGCAACGGCCCACCAAGGCGACGAUCAGUAGCCGACCUGAGAGGGUGACCGGCCACAUUGGGACUGAGACACGGCCCAAACUCC
rnacentral:rRNA from 1 species